UACGUAGGGUGCGAGCGUUUGUCCGGAAUUACUGGGCGUAAAGAGCUCGUAGGUGGUUUGUCGCGUUGUUCGUGAAAACUCACAGCUCAACUGUGGGCGUGCGGGCGAUACGGGCAGACUGGAGUACUGCAGGGGGAGACUGGAAUUCCUGGUGUAGCGGUGGAAUGCGCAGAUAUCAGGAGGAACACCGGUGGCGAAGGCGGGUCUCUGGGCAGUAACUGACGCUGAGGAGCGAAAGCGUGGGGGAGCGAACAGG
rnacentral:rRNA from 1 species